rnacentral:rRNA from 1 species
CCUACGGGAGGCUGCAGUCGAGAAUCUUCGGCAAUGGGCGCAAGCCUGACCGAGCGACGCCGCGUGGGGGACGAAGGCCCUCGGGUUGUAAACCCCUGUCGAGGGGGAGGAAGCCGCAAGGUUGACCGAUCCCUGGAGGAAGCACGGGCUAAGUUCGUGCCAGCAGCCGCGGUAAGACGAACCGUGCGAACGUUAUUCGGAAUCACUGGGCUUAAAGCGCGUGUAGGCGGGAGGGUACGUCUGUCGCUGAAAUCCCCCGGCUCAACCGGGGAACGGGCGCGGAUACGGCCUUCCUUGAGGGGCGUAGGGGGACCUGGAACUUCCGGUGGAGCGGUGAAAUGCGUUGAGAUCGGAAGGAACGCCCGUGGCGAAAGCGAGGUCCUGGACGCCUACUGACGCUGAGACGCGAAAGCCAGGGGAGCGAACGGGAUUAGAUACCCUAGUAGUC